rnacentral:rRNA from 1 species
GACGAACCGUGCGAGCGUUGUUCGGAAUUACUGGGCUUAAAGGGCGCGUAGGCGGCUUACCAAGUCAGGGGUGAAAUUUUGCGGCUUAACCGUAACAGUGCCUUUGAUACUGGUAGGCUCGAGGGAGAUAGGGGUCUGCGGAACUUCCGGUGGAGCGGUGAAAUGCGUUGAUAUCGGAAGGAACGCCGGUGGCGAAAGCGGCAGACUGGAUCUCUUCUGACGCUGAGGCGCGAAAGCUAGGGGAGCAAACGGG